rnacentral:sRNA from 1 species
GCUGGGCAUUGUGGCACAUGCCUGUAAUCCCAGCUACUCGGGAGGCAGAGGCAGGAUAAUUGCUUGAACCUGGGAGGCAGAGAUUGCAGUGAGCUGACAUCGUGCCAUUGCACUCCAGCCUGGGUGACGGAGCAUGCACACAAAAAAUUUUACCAAUUUUUUUUUUUUUUUUUUUUUUGAGACGGAGUCUCGCUCUGCCGCCCAGGCUGGAGUGCAGUGGCCGGAUCUCAGCUCACUGCAAGCUCCGCCUCCCAGGUUCACGCCAUUCUCCUGCCUCAG